CACAGAUCUGUUUUCUUUCCCUUGUCCCAGCUGGAAGACUGCCCUGACACUUUUUUCUAUAAAGGCAACAUUCGACUCUGCCCAACCACAUGUGGUAGUGCUGCUUAUAGACUGUUGUACGCUCAGCUGAGGAACAAACAUUUUGAGCUCUGCACGGGGUCACUGCCUGCCAGCCAAUAGAUCAGUUUGGUCGGUUUGUAAUGUGUGUGAACAGCAGCACUGUCAUCAUACCUGCUGCAGGACACUAGGUGGAGCGCAGAACAGACAACACAGAAAAGAGGAAACCACCCUGCCUGUCAGAGCCUGCGGUUUCCAAGAUAAAUACACAGAAGUAUCUGUCUGAACAUAGUGUUACAGGUAAACACUAAAUAAACAUCAAGGAUUGCUCCUAGCCUUCCUGCUAAAAUCCUUCACAGAGAAGAUGUGGAAAGGCCCCCUUUGUAGCCAGUAGCUGGAAUGCCCUUCUUUCUGCCUCAUCUUCAAGAUUCAAUUCCCAAGAUGGUCUACCUGGACCCUCCAGAUCUUCCUAAGCGUCUCUGUCCUAAACUACCUGAAAACUCAGUCCUUUUCCCUAAACCCCAAAUUGGGUAAGAUGUCCCUCCUCUGUGUUCCCGUAUCAUCCUGUUUUUAUCACACCACACAUUUUUUAAUAUUUUUAUUGAUAUAUAACAAACAUAUGGAAAAGUUUCCAUGUCAUAAGUGUUUAGCUUGAUGAAAUAUCAAAAAGCAAAGCGAAGGGGAGAUUAUAGCUCAGUGGUAGAGGUGCAUGCUUAGUAUGUACAAGGUCCAGGGUUCAAUCCCCAGCACCUCCAGUUAAAAAAAAAAAAA